rnacentral:siRNA from 1 species
UCCACCAUCACCUGAACACUCUC